ensembl:lncRNA
AUGAACGUUGAGUUGCCUGCAAGGCGUCUGGGGAGCCCGGAGGUGCGGCUGAGCUGUUGGCGCCCCGGGACUGAGCUUUUUUCCGGUGGGGCUGCGGUGGCAUCAGUUUCAGAGCCUCUGGCCCAGCAGCCCCGCCAGGAGGAAGCUCCCUGCAGACGUGGCCCAGCGGGCCUGCAGCAGCCACAGGCCCCAGAGGAAGUGAGCCGCUCACCCCCGCCUCUCGCCGGCCCUGGGGCCCCCGGCGACCUGGGAACCCGGAACCUGCUUUGGUUUGGAACCUCGGACCACCAUUCGAGAUCCGUGGCCUUCAUUUCCUGGUGUGGGCGAAGCAGCCAGGGCUGGCGAGGCAGGGAUGGAGCCGGAGUCCCUCUACAACCUGCUGCAGGCCCCGGGGAAGGUGGACCCACCGGCGGCAGAAACACUGGCACAAGGAGAGAAGAGGAAGUACCUGCCCCCCACCUCCCGGAAGGAUCCCAGAUUCGAAGAAUUGCAAAAGGUGGGGCCGUCUCUGAACCUCGGAGUCUUUUUGGCCUGGCCGCCUCCUCCCUCCCCGACCUCAGCUUGCGGGGGGCGUGGGGGGGGGGCAUCCCGCAGGCCCCUGCGAAAGCCGUUGAGGAACAUUUAUUGAGCGCUGCCUGUGUGCCUUCGCCGACGCGAUCCCAGCCAGGCUCGCCUUGGUUGAGGGAAUCUGUUUUCCCCCACGUCCCGGGGACAGAUAGUGAGGCUUGGAGGAGUGACCUGAUCUGUUGGGGACACACGUCUGGCCAGUGACAGAGCUGAGGUUUGACCCAGGUUCUUGGCCCCAUAUCUUGUGCUCUGUCUCUGGCUCAGCCGCCCAAGGCAACCGACAGCUGGCCAAGGGGGCGGAACAUGUGCCAGUCGCCUGGGUCACAGUACUUUUCUUGGCCAGGUGGGCAUAGGCUUAGGGCCUCCGUUUCCCUCUGUCCUACUUCUCUCAUCUCUACGGGGCCUUUCUGUUGCCUCCUCCAGGGAGGCCUCCUGGCCUGCACCCCCUUUGACCCUGUGCCCCAGCGAGGAUGCGUGGCUUAUUUGCCUUCCCUUUCCUCCUCCCUCUCGUUCCCUCGAUGCCUCCAUCCAUAUUCCCUCUGUCAGGCACCAGGACAGAGAGGAAACCCUGGCGAGGGGCUGACAUGUCAUCUUAGUUUGGGUUCCUGCAGAAGCUGAUCCCGAAUUAAGGAUUUGGGUACACAGAGUGAGUUGGGAGGUACUGGCAGGAGACGGGGAGAGGGUGGAGAAGAGACAGGGCAGGAAGGAGCCACCCAGGUAGGUGAUGGAGCAGGUGAUGGUUGUUGGAGCUCAAGCCUGCUGGGCGGUGCUGAGAGUCAGUGUGGAGCUGGGGCGGAGGAGCUGGGGUUCUAGCCACUAAGUCCCAUGUAGCUCAGACUGCUUCCUUAAAAGAGACAGGGCGCUGCUUCUCUGCACAUGUAGCAUGUUGAGGAUGAGCAGGGGGUGCCUGGCCUCCAGGGACAGCCCUCCAGCCUUGUUGGGGUCUGCAGGAGGGGUGGGACACCAGCGCCAUGUCUUACUUAAACCUUACACAGGACAAACCCCAGCCGGCAGUGCCCAGAUCCACCGGAGCUGAGGGCAGACCUCUCUCUCAGGCUGGGAGAUCAGGGUGGGCUUCCCAGAGGAGGUGAUGUUUGACCUGGCCUUGAAGGAUGGGUAGGCGUUGACCGGCAGGAGGAAGGCUGAGCUAGCCCAGGGAGGGGCCGGGUGAGACGUGGCCCAGGGUCAGGUGUCUCUUGGGCCCGGCAGGCACUGAUGGAGUGGAUCAACACCGAGCUCCUUCCUGAGCACAUCGUGGUCCGUAGCCUGGAGGAAGACAUGUUCGACGGGCUCAUUCUGCACCACCUGUUCCGUAAGUGCUUCCAGAGCCGGAGUCCGGGAGGGCGGGGGUGGGUGGGGGGCGACUCCUGGGGGCCUGGUGCCUGGGGCUCUGCCUAUGGGCUUUAGGGCAGUGCCAACCGGCAUGGCCUUCUAGCACUUGCCACGGAGCAGGCGUGGUGCAUCUCAGAACAGCACCAUCCGGUCGCUACCCCCAUUUGACAGAUGAGGAAACUGAGUCCUGAGAAAGCCUGGUGAUUUGUCCAAGGUCUCGCCAUGAAGAAAGCGGGGCAGCUGGGGGUCGUGGCUUUAAUUGCUAGGCCACACUGCCCCGCAGGAGUGAGCAUGUCGCUGGGGGUGGGCCCAGGGUGGUCGAGGUGGUGGAGGCGCAGUGGCCCAUCAGAGGGCGGCCCAGCACAGUGGGUUAAAGGAUCCAGCGCUGCCGUAGCUAGGUUGUGACUGCGGCUUGGAUCUGAUCCCUCGCCCGGGAACUCCCUACACCGAGGGGCGGCCAAUAAAAGAAAGAAAGAAAAAAAGAGCCCUGGCGUU